rnacentral:rRNA from 1 species
CACGUAGGGCGCAAGCGUUGUCCGGAAUUAUUGGGCGUAAAGAGCUCGUAGGCGGUCUGUUGCGUCCGCUGUGAAAACUCGGGGCUUAACCCCGAGCCUGCAGUGGAUACGGGCAGACUAGAGGUAGGUAGGGGAGAAUGGAAUUCCCGGUGUAGCGGUGAAAUGCGCAGAUAUCGGGAAGAACACCCGUGGCGAAGGCGGCUCUCUGGUACGUGACUGACGCUGAGACGCGAAAGCGUGGGGAGCAAACAGGG